GAUGAACGCUGGCGGCGUGCUUAACACAUGCAAGUCGAACGAAGCACCUUGAUUUGAUUCUUCGGAUGAAGAUCUUGGUGACUGAGUGGCGGACGGGUGAGUAACGCGUGGGUAACCUGCCUCAUACAGGGGGAUAACAGUUAGAAAUGACUGCUAAUACCGCAUAAGACCACAGCACCGCAUGGUGCAGGGGUAAAAACUCCGGUGGUAUGAGAUGGACCCGCGUCUGAUUAGGUAGUUGGUGGGGUAACGGCCUACCAAGGCGACGAUCAGUAGCCGACCUGGGAGGGUGACCGGCCACAUUGGGACUGAGACACGGCCCAAACUCCUACGGGAGGCAGCAGUGGGGAAUAUUGCACAAUGGGGGAAACCCUGAUGCAGCGACGCCGCGGGAGCGAUGAAGUAUUUCGGUAUGUAAAGCUCUAUCAGCAGGGAAGAAAAUGACGGUACCUGACUAAGAAGCACCGGCUAAAUACGUG
rnacentral:rRNA from 1 species